rnacentral:misc_RNA from 1 species
GAUGAAGAACGUAGUGAAAUGCGAUAAGUAGUGUGAAUUGCAGAAUUCAGUGAAUCAUCGAAUCUUUGAACGCACAUUGCGCCCUUUGGUAUUCCUUAGGGCAUGCCUGUUCGAGCGUCAUUUAAACCUUCAAGCUCAGCUUGGUGAUGGGCGACUGUCCUCCCCUCGCGGGGGGACUCGCCUCAAAAACAUUGGCGGCCGGUACAUUGGCUUCGAGCGCAGCAGAAACGCGGUCUCGAGCCCGGUGGAUCGGCUCCCAUAAGCCUAUUCUUUUAUUUUGACCUCGGAUCAGGUAGGGAUACCCGCUGAACUUAAGCAUAUCAAUAAGCGGAGGA